rnacentral:rRNA from 1 species
AUCAACUUUCGAUGGUAGGAUAGAGGCCUACCAUGGUGGUAACGGGUAACGGGGUGUUAGGGCACGACACCGGAGAGGGAGCCUGAGAAACGGCUACCACAUCCAAGGAUGGCAGCAGGCGCGCAAAUUACCCAAUCCCGACACGGGGAGGUAGUGACAAUAAAUAACAAUACGGGGUUCUUUCGGAUCUCGUAAUUGGAAUGAGUACAAUUUAAAUCUCUUAACGAGGAACAAUUGGAGGGCAAGUCUGGUGCCAGCAGCCGCGGUAAUUCCAGCUCCAAUAGCGUGUAUUAAAGUUGUUGCAGUUAAAAAGCUCGUAGUUGAAUUUCGGGACCAAUUUGUUGGUCGUGCCUCGGUACGUACUGGUAUUAUUGGUUUCUCCCUUCUGAAGAACCUUGAUGUCAUUAAUUUGGUGUCUUGGGGAAUCAGGACUGUUACUUUGAAAAAAUUAGAGUGUUUAAAGCAGGCAUACGCUUGAAUACAUUAGCAUGGAAUAAUGAAAUAGGACGUUUGAUUCUAUUUUGUUGGUUUCUAGAAUCGACGUAAUGAUUAAUAGGGAUAGUUGGGGGCAUUAGUAUUCAAUUGUCAGAGGUGAAAUUCUUGGAUUUAUUGAAGACUAACUACUGCGAAAGCAUUUGCCAAGGAUGUUUUCAUUAAUCAAGAACGAAAGUUAGGGGAUCGAAGACGAUCAGAUACCGUCGUAGUCUUAACCAUAAACUAUGCCGACUAGGGAUCGGAUGAUGUUAAUUUUUUAAUGACUCGUUCGGCGCCUUACGGGAAACCAAAGUGUUUGGGUUC